GCCUGGUUGUGGAGCUCUGGAGACUCCCCAGGCUCUGGCACUCCUGCGGUGCAGCUGGGCAGGCACUGGGUAUCUGCAGGCCCUCACUGCUUUCUUCACACCCGCUGUGCAGGAAGGUGUGACUGGGACAGUUUGCUUCAACAGGUAUUGGAGGUCUUGGGACCCUUUCCCGGGGUGUUGUGUAAACAGAGCCUGAGGCUCUGUAAACAGAGACAGAGUAGUUAUGUUGGACUCCACAGGUCCUUCUGGGAGCUGCUGUGUUCUCAGCAGGACCCCCGGCUUCCUGGGAGAUGUCAAGAGGUACCCAAGAAAUCUGAGGCCCUAUGAAGCCUAUUCUGCUAGGUGGAAAUGACUUUAAGAGCUCAACUUCAGAUGCAUGAGCCAUGGCUUCCCGAGUUGGUGAAGGCCAGGAGCCACAGCAGAGAGAGGAAAAGUCCGAGUUGGGGAAGGCUCACUUCUUUUGGAGGAAGGUGUGCCUAUGGCAGAACCCAGAGUCCACAGGAGUAGCAGGUAGAAAGGGCCACGAAAGGAGGAUCAGAGGAGCAGUUAUGGAGGAGGGAGGAUACAGAAGAUAAUGAAGCUGGCAUGUAGCACAGCAGUGGUGCCAUACAUGCCUGGCAUGUGCAAAGCCUGGGUUUGAUCCUUGGCCUUGGGACUUGUCACCUUGUGCGAAGCAUGGGAAGACAGGUAGGUGGGAAGUAAGACCUCCAGAUAGGACACAUGAACGGUGUGGUGGGCAGGUGCAGACACAGGUGCUGUUGCAGGUCAGAGGAGGGCGCUCUCGGAGACCCUCGAGAUGGCGACAGAGUGACCAUGAGCAUGGCCUUGGCCAACUUGCCUGUUUCCUGAAGAUGGAGAGAACAGUGGUUGAGAUUGUGCAAGUCCUAGAAAAUCAGACUGGGGAAUUGCUGUUCUGUCUGUGUGUCCUGGCAGACAUUAAAAGUUUUAGGUUCAGGGAGGAUAGCAAGGAAGGGGUGUUUGGAAACGAUUUUUAUAGGAGACAGGUCAGCUAGUAAGCUGCUGCACUCUAGGAGUGCCCAGGGUUUGCAUUGGAUUUAACUGGAAAUGAAAAAAGGGUGAGUUUUAGAGACAUUACCAUUGACAUACUCUGUUGACAAGGCCAGGGUGAAGGGAAGAGAUGACUUUGUGGAAAUUGAUUAUAUGCUAGGGUCUUAGAGCCACUGUAGCUGGCAACUCGAGAAAUCGGAAAUGUGUGUUUUGCAGAGAAGUAAUUGACACUCGGGCUGUGUGGAAGUUUCUGUGUUUGCCAGAAUAUCCAAGUGUAAGUGCGUGCCAGCAACUGCUGCACCGGGCUUGUUGGGAACCCCAGGGAUACAGUGUUAGAGAGAGCAGGCAUUCAGUGGUCAGAGAGGUAGCUGAGGAUGUGCAGCCUGGGAGGUCUGUUUGUUGGGGUUGGGAUCCUGCAGUUCAGGCUGGCCUGGAACUCACUGUGUAGCCCAGGCUGGCCUUGAACUCAUGGCAAUCCUCCCGCCUCUGCCUUCCAAGUGCUGGGAUUACAGGCAUGUACCACCUGUCAUUUUUACCUCUUUGUGUUGCUGCCAUUUACAUGACACUGCCUGGUCUUGACCUUGAAGUUGGAGAAACAAGUCUAAAGACUCGGGGCUUUUGGGAAACUGGGCCAUUUAUUCUUCUAGGCAUGAGGGUGCAUGCAGUUGGAGGUUGGAGAGAAGCAGCAUAGGAUUUGCUAAAGGUAUAUAUUGUUGGGCUUUGAAGUGUGUUGAACUUUGGACUCCACCAGGAUCUUCAGCCUAGUCCCAUGUUUCAUUCCUGCAGGAGAGAGGGGGUGCGUGGAGAUUUGUCGCUGGGGGUAUUGACUUCUCUAGGGCUUGGCUCUUCCAAGCCCUGCAGUCGCCCAUUCCCAGGAGUCUGAGGACCUGCACAUGGAAGGGAUGGGGUGCUUUUUUGCUGAGUACUGAAUUCUGCUGUCUUGUUGCAGGGCUGACUUAGGGUGAUUUGCGGAACAAAUUCCCCAAGCCUCGACUUGCAACAUCUGAAUUUGGAGGAUGGUUGCAGAAGGCUGUAGAAUGAGCCGAGAAUGUAACUAGUGACUUAGCCUCCUUGUUUCUCUGAGCUGCAGGAUCAGUGCACUGGUAGGGGAACAGAACUUAGGGGAGGAGACCUGCAGGGGUGUGGAUCAGAAUUUUUUUUUCUGGCAAAUAUUUGACUGCGUGAAAAAUAAUUGCAUGUGAGUGAGCAGUGGUUGAGCUCACUCAUUCUAGAGCAGUGUUUUCUGUACUGUUCUGUACUGUACAUUGUCUAGGCCCGGGGAUAUACCUCAGUGGCACAGUUAUCUAUCUGGGAAGAGCAAGGUUCUGAGUUCAAUUCCCAGUACCAAGAAAGAAAAAAAAAAAAAAAAAAAAAGAGCAUUGCCAUUGUCUAGCUGCUAGCAUACAUAGAGGAUCACAGGCCCUAUACAAACUCUUAGCCCCAAUAGUCACACACCCUUUUCUAAAAGCUAUCAUUCUUAAGAUUACUCACACCUGUGACCUCUGUGCCAGGACCUCUCCUCAAGGACCUAUGGCACCCUCUUCCUUUCCUACCCAUCAGUUUCGAGGACACACCGCUGGUCAGGACUGACAGAUAGGUUUUACACACAUGCCCCGCCACAAGACUCUCAAUUAUCUUCUCACCUUUGUUUGUACCUUUUCAGGAUGGAUAGAAGCCUUUCCCACAACCAGGGAAACUGCUGAUGUAGUUACCAAAGUCAUAUUACAAGAAAUCAUUCCAAGGUUUGGUCUACCUCAGAGUAUUCAGUCAGAUAAUGGUCCCGCCUUUAUUUCUCAGAUCACUCCACAGGUAUCCUCAAGCUUACACAUCACCUGGCACCUACACAUCCCAUACCAUCCACAAUCCUCAGGAAAAGUAGAAAAGGCAAGUGGCCUCAUAAGACACACCUUACAAAACUCACUUUAGAACUACAUCAACCUUGGCCUCAACUUUUGCCCUUAGCCUUAGCCAAGCUCAGGGAACUCCCCCGGGCUCCUACUUUCCUAAGUCCUUUUGAACUUAGGUACGGCAGGCCAUUCUUACUCCACAAUCUUCCUACUCCCCAAAAUCUCCCUCCCCUGGCUGACUAUGUCCCAGUCCUCUCCUUCCUCUGACACCUGUUGUGACAACAUGCUGAUCUCUGCCUUCCACAACCCUCUGGAGAAGCCAAGCCAGAUCCUCCCCUAUCCCCAGGAGAUCUAAUUUAUCUCAAAUGUUCUAAAUCCACAGGACUGCCACCAAGGUGGAGUGGCCCCCAUCUGGUCUACUUGGCUACCCCUACAGUGGUCAAAGUUGCUGGACUCCCAUCCUGGUUUCACAUCACUCAGGCUAAGAGUCUAACAUGCGUGCAUUCACCAGUGAAGUUGUCCUGGCUUAAACACCUGGCACCAGAAUCUACCUGGGCAUCCACCACCACCCCAUGGACUCCCCUAGACUCCAGUACAGUGCCCUCUGCCAGCAGGAAAUAGUUUUUAAAAAAUUUUCCCCCCUUUUCAUAAUAAUAAUCAUAAUACGGUAUAUGAAAGGGUUUCGGCCCAGACAGGACUCUGUAGCUAGAAAAGCCUCAAGGGGAACCAGGAAGCUCCUAUCUCCCCCACCCCUAGGAAUUUACCUGUGAUGUCAUCUUCCCCGCCCCUGGGAACUUACAUGUGGUGCCAAACCUACGACCAAUGGGCUACCCGUGCAUCCCUGAUGCCCCCUUAGGUUCCACCCCAAACCGAGGCUAUUUACAUACCCCCAAUGCCUCGUGUCUGCCAGAGAGAAAGCUGGACUGCAGCGGUCGGGGGUGCUGGUUCUCUCUCUCCGUGUUCUCAGAAUAAAGGCCUCUUUUGUUUUAUAUUUCUCUCAGUGA